rnacentral:rRNA from 1 species
AUGAACGCUGGCGGCGUGGAUAAGGCAUGCAAGUCGGACGAUUUCCUUUUUUGAAGAAGAUGCGAUUACAUCAAGUCAACUGAUAUUUUGGAGAUAGUGGCGAACGAGCUAGUAACACCUUGGUACGUACCCAAAAGUUUGGUAUAGCUCGCCGAAAGGCGGGGUAAUCCCAAAUAAUCCCUCUAAUCUAUCGGAUAGAAGGGUAAAGUCGCAAGACGCUUUUGGAGCGGCCUAGGACCGAUCAGUUAGUUGGUGAGGUAAUGGCUCACCAAGACGAUGACCGGUAGGG